rnacentral:lncRNA from 1 species
AUGCUAUCUGGUGUCAGCCCAAUGCAGACGGAGGCGCGCUGUGCCCAGACCCACAGGAAGCCAGGCAUCUCCGCAGCCUGUGUUCCUGCCAGCUCCCCCCACGCGCUCAGAUUCGGCACGGAAGAAGUUAUGGUGCCCAGCCGCUGUGUGCAAGACCGAGAGACCACGCAGCACACUCCGAAAAUCGGCCGAGUGGCCCGGACGUCAAAGCAGCAGAACCAUCCGAGUGCCCUGGAGCUGGGCAUGGAGGGGCUACGUUGUUCGAGCGCUCGGAUGUCGCUGCUUUGUCACGGCCCCGGGAACGUAGGGGUAGGAGGAAGCGCACCUCCAGCCAAAAAUGGACCGGACGCGUUUUUCCCAGCGGCUCCCUCCCUGCCUGUCUGCAGGUCGCAAUACGGCAGAUCAUGACUGUUCAUGGGAGAGACAGAUUGCUCUACUGGGUGAAGGUAAGGUUUACUUUUUGUUUUGAAUAAGAUUUGCAUACAAUUUUUGACAGUGUUGAAGAUCAAGUAAAAAUGUGACAGUUUUGUAAUUUAAUAUGUUUUAGUUCAUGUAUUUUUUUACAUUUUAUUUUAUUUUUAUUAUAUAAAAUAUAAUAUUUUAUAUAUUAUAGGAAUAUUAUAGGGGUACAAACAUUUUAGUGACAUAUAAUGCCUUUGCCUCACCCAAGCCAGGGCUACAAGCAUGCCCUUCCCCCAUACAGUGUGCUCCACAUCCAUUAGUGUGAAUUUACCUACCCCUCCCAGCCCCUCCACCUGACUGGAACCCAGUGAACAUUACUACCAUGUGAGCACCUUAAUAUUGAUCAGUUAGUACCAAUUUGAUGGCGAGUACAUGUGGUGCAUGUUUUUCCAUUUUUAUGAUACCUCACUUCAAAGGAUGGGUUUAAGCUCUAUUCAGGAUAAGAGGUGCUAGUUCACCAUUGUUUUUUGUAGUUGAGUAGUAUUCCAUAGUAUACACAACACACACACAAUAUAUAAUAUAGACAUUUUUUAUUAAUCCACCAUGUAUUGAUGGGCACUUGGGGUUGUUUCCACAUCAUUGCAAUUGUGAAUUAUGCUGCCAUAAACAUUCUAGUGCAGAUAUCUUUAUUAUAGAAUGUCUUUUUUUCUUUUGGGUAGAUGCCUAGUAGUGGGAUUGCUGGAUACAAAACACUGUGAAAAGAAAUUGUAGAGCAUGUAAACAGAUGGAAAACUCUACCAUGCUCAUGGAUUGGCAGAAUCAAUAUUGUUAAAAUGUCCAUACUAUCUAAAGUUAUCUACAGAAUUAAUGCAAUCCCUACAAAAUAUCAUCAUUCAUCUUUACAAGAUCUAGAAAAUUAAUUCUAUAUUUCAUCUUGGAACCAGAGAAGCCUCAUGUACCAAAGCAUCUUAAGCAAAAAGAACAAAUUGAUAGGCAUCAGUCUACCAGACUUCAAGUUUUACUACAAGGUUAUAGUAACCAAAGCAACAUGGUACUGGCACAAGAAGAGAGAUUAGACCUU